rnacentral:rRNA from 1 species
GAUAGAGUUUGAUCCUGGCUCAGGACGAACGCCGGCGGUGUGCUUCACACAUGCAAGUCGAACGGGGUAGCAAUACCCAGUGGCGGACGGGUGAGUAACGCGUAGAAAUCUGCCUUGAGAUGGGGGAUAACAGUCCGAAAGGAUUGCUAAUACCGCAUAUGUAUGUGCCCGGACACGGGCGUAUAUGAAAGGAGUAAUCCGUCUUAAGAUGAGUCUGCGUCCGAUUAGCUAGUUGGUAGGGUAAAGGCCUACCAAGGCGACGAUCGGUAGCUGGUCUGAGAGGAUGAUCAGCCACAAUGGGACUGAGAUACGGCCCAUACUCCUACGG